UACGGAGGAUGCGAGCGAUAUCCGGAUUUAUUGGGUUUAAAGGGUGCGCAGGCGGCACGGCAAGCCGGCGGUCAAAUCGCGGGGCUCAACCCCGCCCAGCCGUCGGAACUGCCGGGCUAGAGUGGGCGAGAAGUGCGCGGAAUGCGUGGUGUAGCGGUGAAAUGCAUAGAUAUCACGCAGAACUCCGAUUGCGAAGGCAGCGCACCGGCGCCCUACUGACGCUCAGGCACGAAAGCGUGGGUAUCGAACAGG
rnacentral:rRNA from 1 species